GAUGAAGAAUGCAGCGAAAUGCGAUAAGUGAUGUGAAUUGCAGAAUUCAGUGAAUCAUCGAAUCUUUGAACGCACCUUGCACCCUUUGGCAUUCUGAAGGGUAUGCUCGUUUGACUGUCAUUGUACUCUCACACUCCCGAUCUUUGCAUUGGGAGCAGUGGACUUGGGUUUGCUGCUUCACCGUCGCUUACCUCAAAUAGGUUAGUGCAACUCUUGGUUGGACAUAGUACGGCGUGAUAAGUGUUCUUCGCCGGUGCCUCGCAAAGAGGGUGGCCGAUCGGGAUGUUGUGCUCCAAACCGUCUUCGGACAAUCUCUGACGACUUGACCUCAAAUCGAGUAAGACUACCCGCUGAACUUAAGCAUAUCAAUAAGCGGAGGA
rnacentral:misc_RNA from 1 species